rnacentral:rRNA from 1 species
GUGCCAGCAGCCGCGGUAAUACGUAGGUGGCAAGCGUUAUCCGGAAUUAUUGGGCGUAAAGCGCGCGUAGGCGGUUUUUUAAGUCUGAUGUGAAAGCCCACGGCUCAACCGUGGAGGGUCAUUGGAAACUGGAAAACUUGAGUGCAGAAGAGGAAAGUGGAAUUCCAUGUGUAGCGGUGAAAUGCGCAGAGAUAUGGAGGAACACCAGUGGCGAAGGCGACUUUCUGGUCUGUAACUGACGCUGAUGUGCGAAAGCGUGGGGAUCAAACAGGAUUAGAUACCCUGGUAGUCCACGCCGUAAACGAUGAGUGCUAAGUGUUAGGGGGUUUCCGCCCCUUAGUGCUGCAGCUAACGCAUUAAGCA